rnacentral:rRNA from 1 species
UACGUAGGCAGCGAGCGUUGUUCGGAGUUACUGGGCGUAAAGGGUGCGCAGGCGGUGUAGCAAGUCUGUUGUGAAAUCUCCCGGCUUAACCGGGAGGGUGCGGCGGAAACUGUUCUGCUGGAGUGAGGGAGAGGCAAGCGGAAUUCCUGGUGUAGCGGUGAAAUGCGUAGAUAUCAGGAGGAACACCCGUGGUGCAGACGGCUUGCUGGACCUCCACUGACGCUGAGGCACGAAAGCGUGGGGAGCAAACAGG